GCGAGGAUGGCGGAAUGGCAGACGCGCCGGGUUUAGGUUCCGGUUGGUUAACACCAGUGGAGGUUCGAGUCCUCUUCCUCGCA
rnacentral:tRNA from 2 species